CAGAUACAGACUUUAAAUAUAAAAUAAAAGUUGUUUGGAAUUCUAAGUUACAUCGAUUCCCCGUGCCUCAAAGUUUUUUUAAGGUAUGGGGUUUAGAUUUGAAAAUGCACCAAAAAAAGAAGAAAAAAUAGAAAACUAAUUCUUCUGCGAACGGAAAAAGGGUGAACGUAUAUUGAA
rnacentral:lncRNA from 1 species